CGCAUGCCUGGGUUAUAUCCUGAUAAUUCAAAUCCAGAUGGAUAUUUUUCAUUUAAAACCAUGGUUUCAGAGGAAACAAAAAGUUGAAUUAAAAAUUUUGACUUUUGUCCAUUUGGUAUAAUCAAGAAGAAGGCCUUUACAUAUAAAACAUCGUUUGAACAGAAUUCAGUGGAAGAAUAGAACAGAAAUGUAGGAGAAAGAAGAAGGAGCAGAGUCCCGAGUCCUCAUACUAGGGUGAUUGAAAGGGCUGACCAUUUGGCACUGGACAAUCAGUUGGUGUGCUCUUCUCGGAAGAGGGCUACUUUUCUCACUCCCAGCUUUAUUUAG
ensembl:lncRNA